CCAAAGUUUCAAAAUUCAAAUAAUCGCGAUAUCUCAAAUCUCUCUUUUUCUCUGGAUCUUGAGCCCUACGCUCCUCCAUAUCUCCAAUAUCCUCCAUCCGUUCCCCUUCCCCAUGCGCACAAAGAUGAAAUCAGAUGAUGAACAACCAGAGAUGAAGAACAAAGAUCGAUGAAACUGAAAACACGCAGUCAUGAACACCGUUUUGAAGAAACCCUAACUCACACACUCUCUCUCUAAAACUCACACAAUAUUUCAACCUCUGCGGUACUUCAAUUCUCAUUCGCGUUCAUCCAAUUUCAUCUACAGUAAGUUAUCUGAUUUAAAGUGGGGAAGUGGUUGAGAUGGUAAUAAGGAAAAAAUGGCUGUCGAGAUUAUGCAAUUCUUGUUAGCUGCUCAACCAGCUGAUACAAAGGUUCGAACUGACGCAGAGGGCAAGCUUUGACAAUUCCAACUCCAAGAGCAAAACUUUCCUGGAUUUCUUCUCUCUUUAUCACUUGAGCUCUCAAAUGAUGGGAAGCCUUUGGAGUCUCGUAGAUUGGCUGGUAUUGUGCUUAAGAACUCAUUGGAUGCUGAAGACGCUACCACAAAGGAACACUUGGUGCAACAGUGGAUGUCAAAUGACGCGUCUUUCAGAUCCCAAGUCAAAGGCCUGCUGUUAAAUACUCUCGGUUCAUCUGUUCUCGAAGCUGGUCACACUGCUGCUCAACUCAUCGCCAAAAUCGCUUCGAUAGAAAUUCCAAGAAAAGAAUGGCCUGAACUUAUCGCUUCUUUGCUUGGAAACAUGAUCCAACAAGAUAAGCCGGCAUCAUUGAAACAAGCAACUUUAGAGGCACUUGGGUAUGUAUGUGAAGAGAUAUCCCACAACGAUCUUGUGCAAGAUGAGGUUAAUUCUGUCCUCACUGCUGUGGUGCAAGGACAUUUGGAAGAUCUGAUCAGCCCCACACACAUUUUCUUUAUGUCUUUCUUCGGCUCAAUGUUCAGACAGCUCUUCGUCUGCCAGACUUGAUUCCUUUAACCGUUUGAAUUGAUCUGCAGUCAUUGAAUGGAGUUAAUAAGGUUGUGUUUGUAAAUCAGAAGUUGAGAGUUUGAACAAAAGGCAUUGUAAGGAUGCUUGAAAAGGCAAGUUCCAAGAGGUAGUGAGCUGGUGAUGGUAUUCCGGAUGCGGGAUGACACGACUGGGGUUUUGGUAAUAGCUGCGACAUUAGACGAUUGGCUAAAGUAUAUUUUAAUGCAUUUAAAUUUCUAAAUAUAUUUAUAAUUGUAUUCAAUGCAUUAAAUACUUGUAAGACCCAACCCAGUUUAUUCUGCCUUGCACUGAUAAAGUGCUUGUUUUAAGCUGAACCGGUUUUGAUAUUUAUUGGUA